rnacentral:lncRNA from 1 species
AACACGAAGAAAAAUGGCAAAGCGGAAACAUUCUUAUCUGUUUCCCUCUGAUAGUGGGUUGUGUUUAUCUUGAACCUCAGCAGUUCCAGAAAGCGCUCUGUAGCUGAAAGUUACAGGUGAAGAAGCUUGAAUAUAGCUACGAUCAGUGUUUAAUUCCUUUUGAUUCCUCAUGACAAAAGCUAGUAAUGAGGUCUUUGUUGCGGUCAGCAAGAGAUGACCACAGAUCACAUGCUUGCGACACCUCUUCCUGAAUCCAGAGCUCACUGCCGACUGCUUUACGACUAAACCACGUAAUGGCCCCUAAGAUAAGCAGACUUUGGUCGGUGAGGUACCUUUCCUACUUUGAAGAACCAUUGAAGCCUGAAGCUAAAGACUAUUACAAAUAAGCCACGAACGUGUACCUAUUGUCAACGGCUUAAUGAUUCACCUGUCGUUUUUCAGUCUGUAGACUGAGACAGAGAUUAAAUCAUCAGUCAUUAUG